CGAAUCUGUAUUGAAUUGGAUUUGACCAAACCGUUAAUUGCUAAUGUGCAAGUUGAGGUUAAAAGUCAUGGAAACUUCUCUCUCUGGCUUCCCUCUCUUUAGAAAGAAAACCUUAGUUUUGAAGACUGAGCCGCCAUCCCCUUUGGGGGUGGGUGGCCUCUGCAUUUCCCCUUUCCUCCCUACCCUUUUCCUUCCUAGAUUCUAGUCCGCUCCCCCAUCCCUCAUUUGCUCCCUUUUCCUCUUCCUAUUUCUCUUUCCCCUUUUCUUUGAUUUGGCUGGGCGUUUUGAUGUUGGGUUUUGGUGGCUUAGUUUUGGCCCUUUUUUUUGGUUUUGCUUCUUUUGCAGAUCUGGGAUUUGAAUCCCCUGUUUUGACCCCGUUCCCUCUCCCUCCCAGCCUGUGCUGGGAUCUGGGGUAGGUCUUGAUGGAUUCAGUUUGUCUGCCCAAUCUAUCGGUGGCCCUGUGGUCUUGUGGUGGUGGCUGGUGUUGCGAGCUCUUUUAGUCUCCAGGGAUUGCCCAUCGAUUUUGGUCGUUUUGGGUGGUUUUGUUGGAUCUGUGCUUUUCCUGGAGUGUUCGGGCUUGCUGUGCUCUUUACAGAUGUUUCUUCCGUUGUUUUUCUUCCGUUGCGCUACUCCUACUAGGUGCAGCUUUAGUGGCUUGCUCACCACCAUUUUCUGUUGGUUACUGGUUUCUCUUUGGUGGUUGUUGGCUUGCUUUGGUGGUGCGGCUUGUGGUUGUUGGAUUGUGCGGCACAUACCUGUUAUUGGUGUUAGGGUUUCCUAAUGUUGUGUUGUAUUUUAUGGGCCUUUUGCUAUUAUGUGGGUUCUUUGUCUUUAUGUGGGCUUAAUGCCUUUAUGUGUGCUUUAUACAUUUUGUUAAUUUUAUUUGUAGUGGGCUCUAUGUCUACUUGUAUUGAAUUUUGUGUGAACUCAAUUAUUUGAGUUCAAUUUGAUGUAAUAUGGCUUUGACCUUCUAUUUAAUGAAACUCGAUUCCGACCAAAAAAA